rnacentral:rRNA from 1 species
GAUGAACGCUGGCGGCGUGCCUAAUACAUGCAAGUCGAGCGAACGGACGAGAAGCUUGCUUCUCUGAUGUUAGCGGCGGACGGGUGAGUAACACGUGGAUAACCUACCUAUAAGACUGGGAUAACUUCGGGAAACCGGAGCUAAUACCGGAUAACAUUUUGAACCGCAUGGUUCAAAAGUGAAAGACGGUCUUGCUGUCACUUAUAGAUGGAUCCGCGCUGCAUUAGCUAGUUGGUAAGGUAACGGCUUACCAAGGCAACGAUGCAUAGCCGACCUGAGAGGGUGAUCGGCCACACUGGAACUGAGACACGGUCCAGACUCCUACGGGAGGCAGCAGUAGGGAAUCUUCCGCAAUGGGCGAAAGCCUGACGGAGCAACGCCGCGUGAGUGAUGAAGGCCUUCGGAUCGUAAAACUCUGUUAUUAGGGAAGAACAUAUGUGUAAGUAACUGUGCACAUCUUGACGGUACCUAAUCAGAAAGCCACGGCUAACUACGUGCCAGCAGCCGCGGUAAUACGUAGGUGGCAAGCGUUAUCCGGAAUUAUUGGGCGUAAAGCGCGCGUAGGCGGUUUUUUAAGUCUGAUGUGAAAGCCCACGGCUCAACCGUGGAGGGUCAUUGGAAACUGGAAAACUUGAGUGCAGAAGAGGAAAGUGGAAUUCCAUGUGUAGCGGUGAAAUGCGCAGAGAUAUGGAGGAACACCAGUGGCGAAGGCGACUUUCUGGUCUGUAACUGACGCUGAUGUGCGAAAGCGUGGGGAUCAAACAGGAUUAGAUACCCUGGUAGUCCACGCCGUAAACGAUGAGUGCUAAGUGUUAGGGGGUUUCCGCCCCUUAGUGCUGCAGCUAACGCAUUAAGCACUCCGCCUGGGGAGUACGACCGCAAGGUUGAAACUCAAAGGAAUUGACGGGGACCCGCACAAGCGGUGGAGCAUGUGGUUUAAUUCGAAGCAACGCGAAGAACCUUACCAAAUCUUGACAUCCUUUGACAACUCUAGAGAUAGAGCCUUCCCCUUCGGGGGACAAAGUGACAGGUGGUGCAUGGUUGUCGUCAGCUCGUGUCGUGAGAUGUUGGGUUAAGUCCCGCAACGAGCGCAACCCUUAAGCUUAGUUGCCAUCAUUAAGUUGGGCACUCUAAGUUGACUGCCGGUGACAAACCGGAGGAAGGUGGGGAUGACGUCAAAUCAUCAUGCCCCUUAUGAUUUGGGCUACACACGUGCUACAAUGGACAAUACAAAGGGCAGCGAAACCGCGAGGUCAAGCAAAUCCCAUAAAGUUGUUCUCAGUUCGGAUUGUAGUCUGCAACUCGACUACAUGAAGCUGGAAUCGCUAGUAAUCGUAGAUCAGCAUGCUACGGUGAAUACGUUCCCGGGUCU